GUCGAGGUAAUGGGGUUGAAUCUUUCUUCUCUCCCUUUCAUCUUUUGGUUUAUUCUGAUUUCUCAAGAGGUAAGUUUUCUUUUGUUGUGGGUGGGAAAAGAGUGGCUUGAAUAUAAUUUCGUGUUUCUAGUUGGUUACUUCGCAUCUAUAUACCCUGUUAUUGGUUUUUAAAUUAGUUUUGGCUAUUUGUUUCUUGGGUUAUGAUCUGUCCUCUGUGUGUCUUAUAGUGUUUUCUAGAUUUUUGCAUCAAUCACUCUCUAUAUCUGCUGUCUGUCUACACACAUUCAGUCUGAGCCCCUCUAAGGCUGGACAUAUGUUCUGUUCAGAUAGUUGAUGUUCUGUUGGUGCAGGAUUUAGCACCCCCAACAUACCGGUCUAUACCAUAAAUCGAAAUCGGUUAGUUAAACCUGAGAAUUCGAGAGAGGGUCGAAUUUGGUCUUCAAAGCAGGGUCCAACAAGAUCUUAUGGGCCCGGUCCAAGAGCGUGAAGCCGACUUCCCAGAUCGCCCAGCAGCCGACCUAACAAGAAAGAAGAAACUUUCCUAAUCUUGGUGCGAUCCAUUAGGAAAAUAGCUAUAUUCUGUAAUCUAUAGAAACAUAUAAAUAAGGAACAUCCCCUUUCUUGUAGAUCAUCCAGCAAUUAAUACAAUUAUUAUACUUUUACUU